rnacentral:rRNA from 1 species
UACGAAGGGGGCUAGCGUUGCUCGGAAUCACUGGGCGUAAAGGGUGCGUAGGCGGGUCUUUAAGUCAGGGGUGAAAUCCUGGAGCUCAACUCCAGAACUGCCUUUGAUACUGAGGAUCUUGAGUUCGGGAGAGGUGAGUGGAACUGCGAGUGUAGAGGUGAAAUUCGUAGAUAUUCGCAAGAACACCAGAGGCGAAGGCGGCUCACUGGCCCGAUACUGACGCUGAGGCACGAAAGCGUGGGGAGCAAACAGG